rnacentral:rRNA from 1 species
GACGAACGCUGGCGGCGUGCUUAACACAUGCAAGUCGAGCGGAAAGGCUCCUUCGGGGGUACUCGAGCGGCGAACGGGUGAGUAGCACGUGAGUAAUCUGCCCCUGGCUUUGGGAUAGCCACCGGAAACGGUGAUUAAUACCGGAUAUGACCACUACACGCAUGUGUUGGUGGUGGAAAGUUUUUCGGCCAGGGAUGUGCUCGCGGCCUAUCAGCUUGAUGGAGAGGUAAUGGCUCACCAUGGCUUCGACGGGUAGCCGGCCUGAGAGGGUGACCGGUCACACUGGUACUGAGACACGGCCCAGACUCCUACGGGAGGCAGCAGGGGGGAAUAUUGGACAAUGGGCGGAAGCCAGAUCCAGCAACGCCGCGUGAGGGAUGACGGCCUUCGGGUUGAAAACCUAUUUCAGUACCGACGAAGCGCAAGUGACGGUAGGUACAGAAGAAGCACCGGCCAACUACGUGCCAGCAGCCGCCGUAAUAC